rnacentral:lncRNA from 1 species
GAAGAAGAACACAAAUCAAUAAACGAUUUGGUAACAUACCAGAAUAGCUUCCUUCAUAGCUACCUUUGUGAGUUCCCAUCUGUAUAAAUCUUGAGACAUAAGUUCUAUAUCAAAAUUCUCCCAUUUACAUAUAUUUAUGUAUUGUUUCUCAUAACAACAGGUUUGAAAUGAAACAAAUCCAGUUUAUGAAGGAUUACUUACGAGACAUCAUAUUGUUGAGAAGAUGAAGGAGAUUGCAGAGAUGAAUGAGUAUCCAAAUCUUGGAGUAUAUUGAGAAAAGAAGACAAGAAAUCAGGUACCGUAGAAAGAUUUUAGUCCAAAAAUUAUAGAUGUUUGUCAAAUAAAUGGGGCUUCAUGGUAGCCUAUGUUCCUUCUCUGCUCUCCAUUUUUGUUAUGUCCUUAUCUCUCUCUCUUUGAUAGCACCAGUUGUAUAGUCUGAUAACAAACAUUUUACAAGUUAUAACAGAAACAAGAUCCAAGAUCCAGAAGCAUUGUCAGGGUCAUGUCUGGCUCAUGUUACAAUAAUGUAAGCAUCUAGACGAAAAGGUUCUGCUUAUUCGUAUCUCUAAUUAAAUUAAACUAUAAUAAUUAGUCUCUUGAUUUUAAUUUACAGACUCAAAAGAAAAAGACUAUCAAGAAGAUGACAUAAGGCUGAAGAAGCUUGAUUUAAUAUAGAAGCUGAUAUGGCUGUUGGAUUUAAUCUAUCUUUGCAAUGAGACAAUAUAAGAUUCUUUUUAAUGGCUAUUAUAGUUUGUAUAAAGGAUCUUUUGGUUAACUUUCAUUCUCAGUUCUAAUGUUUAUUAAGCAACUCUCGGAAAAUUGGCAGAAAGCAUAAGCUAACUCUAUGAAGUAUAGUAGUUGAGAAAAGAAAAACACUAUUCGAUCUCAUAAACUACAUUAUUUGAUGAAAGUGGAGAAGAUUUGAAGUUUCUUACCUCUGUAACGACUCCCAAAGCGAUUUGGACUUAGAAGAAGACUUUCCUAUAUGAAUUGUUAUAGUCCUGAUAACAAACAUUUUACAAGUUAUAACAAAAACAAAAAAAAAUGAUAGUAGUUUUCCUAAAAACAUUGCACAAAGUAAAAAGAAAGAUAUGCACAAAGCAUUACUUUACAAGAGUGUUAAGAACCAUGUCCAACAUAAUAGAUCAAUGAAA